CUACGUGCCAGCAGCCGCGGUAAUACGGAGGGUGCGAGCGUUAAUCGGAAUAACUGGGCGUAAAGGGCACGCAGGCGGUUAUUUAAGUGAGGUGUGAAAGCCCCGGGCUUAACCUGGGAAUUGCAUUUCAGACCGGGUAACUAGAGUACUUUAGGGAGGGGUAGAAUUCCACGUGUAGCGGUGAAAUGCGUAGAGAUGUGGAGGAAUACCGAAGGCGAAGGCAGCCCCUUGGGAAUGUACUGACGCUCAUGUGCGAAAGCGUGGGGAGCAAACAGGAUUAGAUACCCUGGUAGUCCACGCUGUAAACGCUGUCGAUUUGGGGAUUGAGCUUAAAGCUUGGUGCCCGUAGCUAACGUGAUAAAUCGACCGCCUGGGGAGUACGGCCGCAAGGUUAAAACUCAAAUGAAUUGACGGGGGCCCGCACAAGCGGUGGAGCAUGUGGUUUAAUUCGAUGCAACGCGAAGAACCUUACCUGGUCUUGACAU
rnacentral:rRNA from 1 species